AACGGACGCUGGCGGCAGGCUUAACACAUGCAAGUCGAACGCAUCCUUCGGGGUGAGUGGCAGACGGGUGAGUAACGCGUGGGAACGUGCCCUUCAGUUCGGAAUAACCCAGGGAAACUUGGGCUAAUACCGGAUACGUGCGAGAGCAGAAAGAUUUAUCGCUGAAGGAUCGGCCCGCGUCUGAUUAGCUAGUUGGUGAGGUAAUGGCUCACCAAGGCGACGAUCAGUAGCUGGUCUGAGAGGAUGAUCAGCCACAUUGGGACUGAGACACGGCCCAAACUCCUACGGGAGGCAGCAGUGGGGAAUAUUGGACAAUGGGCGCAAGCCUGCUCCAGCCAUGCCGCGUGAGUGAUGAAGGCCUUAGGGUUGUAAAGCUCUUUCAGUGGGGACGAUAAUGACGGUACCCGCAGAAGAAGCCCCGGCUAACUUCGUGCCAGCCGCCGCCGUAA
rnacentral:rRNA from 1 species